CUUUAACCAGACCAGAGAGAGGACACUUUAACCAGACCAGAGAGAGGACACUUUAACCAGACCAGAGAGAGGGCUAAGAUGUCAACCAACCAACCCCAGUAGGGUGAGUCCUGACCUGGAAUACCAUGAACUUGGCCCCAUACCCUGGUCUCAGAUCAGCUUGGCAUUCCCCCUUAUUGGUUACAGUUAAGAGAUGGCAAGAAGAAGCUGAUCUUAGAUCUGGGGCUGUAGUUUGGCAUGUUCCUCUUGUUAGAGGAAUUCUGUUGUAAGCCAGUCUGAGUGAGAGAGCUGUGUCAGAAAGACUGAGAGGUCCAGUGUAAAUUCUUUACCCUUUGGUUAACCUGUAGAAAAAUGGUGUACUAGGCUAGAUAUUGUUUUCAUUCAUCCAGUCUCAGCCUGGAUUAAUUUAUCUAUCUAAUGAUUUCCUUUUUGCUACGCACCACAUUUAGACGUUGAUGGAUCGCUGGUUAAAAAAAUGAACGUUUUUCUCCUCAACCAGCCUGUUACAGUACUGACUUUUGGCUCUCUGUAGGGUAACAUCUCAAAUAACACUCUAUUCCCUACUUAGUGCACUACCAUAGGGCUCUGGUCAAAAGUAGUGCACUAUACAGAGAAUAGGGUGCCAUUUGGGAUGUACAAUAUCUUGAAUGUUAUGUGUGGUGAUCAGCUGCCCUCAGACCAAGAGACCUUGGAAGGACAGAUUGUGUUCCUUCCUCCUCUCUCUGUUUUGCCCAUUCCAACCUGCUACACUUUAUCUUCGUUUCCCUCUAACCAGGACCUAUUCUUAUGAGUUAUGGCAUAAUAAAAUGAUCAAGACAAAAGUGUAGGUAAUGUCAAUGUAUUAAUGUUAUACCUAUAAUUUCUCUAUUACGGUUUGGAAACGCCACGGGGAUUGUUAUCCAGAGGGUUUUAACUAAAGCAAGAGUCAGCACUCUGGCUUUGCUGAAUGAUCAUGUUCUGAUUCCAACAGGUCUCUCUUCAUUCCAACCUGUGGUUGAUCAGGUAUCUUUUACAUAGUUACAUGGGCUCUGCACGGCUGUGGGCGGAAAUAGAGGGACCAUGUGGGUUACUCUGAUGUAAAUUGUAAAAGGUAGAAGUCAUUUCAUGUAAAAAAAUUUUUUUAUAAAUAAACAUUUUCAUCAAGAAAAAAAAUAGAUGGUGCUGAAAGUGCCAUUGAUUGGUUGUGAGGUGAUGUUAAUUUCACUGUUACAAGAGGAUACUUAGUGUCUGUCCAGUUGUUGACUGUAAAAGUAAUGUGACUCCUAUUAUUACAUGCAAUAGGACUAAACCUUCACAACGUGAGUAGGUGUUGGGAAUAGGACUGGUAACUAGAACUAAUAUAACUAGAUUACAAUUUAACUCCCAAGUUGACAAUAUAAUGUCAUUAACUAAAAGCUAUAUUACAAAGUACUAUAACGGUGCAUGUUGUUUCAUAUAAUUGAAUAUACAGUUGACUAGAUUACAAAAGGUAUGAUAAGUAACUUUUUAAGUCUUCAUCAUUCAUCAAUACUUUUUUAUUGCAUUUGUCCCAUAAUCACGUUUCAAACCAAAUGCAUUGACAGUGAAGCAUCAUGAAGAUAUCAACCCCUAUGAAAACAGCCUUCAUACCGACUCGUCAGCCUCACAGAGCAACCAGUCACCUAGACUAGCCUAGCCUAGCCUAGCUUACAUGUUCAGACAUUUCAAUAAUGAAUAUCUAGGUCGAGGUGUACUCACUCUUUCUCCGUUGUUCAUUCCACAGUGUACAAAACGUUUCCUCUUCGCGGUAAUGAACUCAACAAAAAACGAAAUGUAAAACAAUAAAUACAAAUCAGUACAUAAAUACCGAAAUGACUGUCAGGAAGUUGACAUUAUAUCUAAAGUUGAGAGUAAAGUUGUGGUAACGGAAGAGAUAACCGCUGGUCAACAGAAAUGAAAUGUUUAAAUAAUAACGGUUUAAAUGGACAGUUACAUGCGCGAGAGGAGAACUCC
rnacentral:lncRNA from 1 species